rnacentral:rRNA from 1 species
UACAGAGGUCUCAAGCGUUGUUCGGAUUCAUUGGGCGUAAAGGGCGCGUAGGCGGCGGGGUAAGUCGGGUGUGAAAUCUUGAAGCUUAACUCCGAAACUGCAUUCGAUACUGCCGUGCUUGAGGACUGGAGAGGAGACUGGAAUUUACGGUGUAGCGGUGAAAUGCGUAGAUAUCGUAAGGAAGACCAGUGGCGAAGGCGGGUCUCGUGGACAGUUCCUGACGCUGAGGCACGAAGGCCAGGGGAGCAAACGGG